UUAAACCGUCAUUUUUCUAACAUAAACACUCUAAAUUCUGGGAUUUCAGCUCCUCCACUGGGAAUCUGUUCUGGUUUCUUUCCUCUCUGAUGAGAAACUGAAGAUCGUGGACGAAACCAGACAUCUGAGGAAACUUUGAUCCACAUUUGAAACAUUUCAGAGAAACAGCUGAAGUCAGGAGAACAGUCUGGUUCUGUUUGCUCUCAAUCUAAAAAUAACUCUAUAAUACUAAGAAUCAUGAUGGAACACUAAGAACACUCCAGAACAGCUUCUUCACCUGGUUCAGCUCAGGAUCACCUGUUUACCUGUUUACCUGUUUACCCGUGUGUACUUGUGUGUACUUGUGUGUUUUGUGUGUUUUGGUCCUAUUACUGAGGAUUUUGUCAUACAUGCUGUGGUCACGUGUUAAAAUGAACACGUCUGGUUGUUGCACCUGCUUGACGUGUCAUCAGACUGGAGUGUAGCUCCGCCCAUCUCCAUCUGAGCUCUGAGCUGUGAUUGGUGGACAGGACGGUGUUGUUUAUCUCAGCUUUGGUCUCCUCCACCUCCUCCAGAUCUCUGACCUCGUCUCCUCUUUCAGCUCCAGACGUUCUGCUGUGAAUAUUUCAUGAGCUGAUAUGAUCCAUGGAGGAACCGGACACCCAGCAGAGCCCGGCUCUCCGGGUUCCUCCUUCAGGUCUGUGGGUCCAGGAUGGUCCAGGUUCCUGAGAGAACGUCUCAUUUAUUAGCUUCUAUUUCUGUCUGCUUUGGUUUUCAAUUCAAUUCAAUUUUAUUUAUAUAGCAUCAAUUACAGUCAAAUUGUCUCAAGACGCUUUACAGAACCCAUAUGCCUGACCCCCAGAGCAGCCCAAAGGAGACAGUGGCAGGAAAACACCCUUUUAACAGGGAAGAAACCUCGAGCAGAACCCGGCUCUAUAUAGGGGGGACCCAUCUGCCCCUCUCGGUCUGGAUUCCAUAGAAUCAUUUCCUCCACAGUCGACCUGAACCCGGUUAUUUAAACGUGAUUAAUAAUCUGCAGCGGAAGCAGAAAUGGACCUGGUUCUGGUCCUGGUUCUGGUCCUGCUGGUGGUCCAUAUGGACGUUUGGCUGCUCUGCUCUGCGUCACAGGAAGAGAUGAAACCCGAGCGGCCGUCUGUUCUCAGACUGUCUGCUGCUUUGUGUUGGUUGGAGACGGACCCGGCCCGGCCCGGCCCGGCCCGCCUCCUCUCUGCCUGAAUGCAUCGACGGCGUCUCAGGGAGGAGCUGGAACACUGCAGUGGAAAAUGAAACUGGAGGAGACGGCGAUAAGCCUCGUCUGUCUGCCGCUAAUCAGCAGCAGAACCUCAGAGGUUCUGGUUCUGUUCAGAACAGCCGACUAGACCGGCCUUCAGCAUCUAUUCACUCAGUUCCAAAAGGUUCUGAUCUGUGUUGAGUCUUUUAUAGAAUCAUGGAAUUACUGCAGAAUAAAGACAAUAAAGCUUCUGGUUCUCCUGGAAAACAGAACAGAUGACUGAUGCUCAAACUGCUGCUGGUUUAUCUGGAACUGAUCUGGAACUUAUCUAGAAGCUAUUCAGAAUUUACGUAGAACUUAUCUAGAAUUUAUUUAGAACUUAUCUAGAACCAAUUUAGAACUUAUGUAGAAUGUAUCCAGCUGAGGACACAUCUUCUGUUCAGGACCUCAGAAGCUCCAGCUUAGGGUUAGAACCGUGUUCUUAGAGCUGCUCCAGACCAGAACCGUUCAGUUCCCUCAGAUUCUCUGAUUGUUCUUCUGCUAAAGACCUGCAGGUGAAAAUGCAGUGACGUUCAUACAGAGCAGUUCCUGUGGAGUCAUUCUGUGGAGGAGAAGCUGGAUCUUCUUUAAACAGCUGGAUUCUCGUCAUCUGUCUCACAAAAACCUCUUUCCAUAUUCAGCAUCAUUUGUGGUGAAUCCUGUAGUUUUGAAGCCCAAAAAUCCAAACCUCAACCUUUCAGUGACUGAAAACUCUUAAUGAUCCUCCCACCAGACUCAGGUGUGUGCUGGUCAGAGCAUUGUUAGCUAGCUAGCUUAGCAUCGGCCUCAGAUUUAAGGUGACAUGUUGGAGAAAUGUGAAUGUGUCGUGGUGAGAUGCUCGAAUUGUUUGUAGACUCAGGUUUGUUUAAUCCUGAGUUUAAACCUGAACCUAAUCUUAAACCUAUCCCUAACCUAAGCCUGACCUAACCUUAACUGAACCCUAACCUAACCCUAAUCUAACCUUAACCUAAUCUAAUCCAACCUAAUGCUAAUCCUACAGUUGGUUUAUGGUUUUUUUUAUGGUUUUGUUUUUUUGAGGGACAUUAUAGAGAGGUGUAAGUAUCCCCUGUGCCUGACCACACCCCCUAAUCUAACCCUAACACCAUCUCUAACCCUAACCUAACCUAAACUUAACCUAACCCUGACCUUGACUUCUGCAGGUGUUUCUAGAACCACUGGUGGAUUCAGAGCUCUGUUCCAAAUGUUUCAUUUUCAUCUGAAGUUCUGCCAUCUAAGCCGAGCUAAAGCUAAAAUCCUGCAUGAAUUCUCCAAACAAUAAUCUCCAGGUGUUUUCUUUUACAUUUGGUGAGACGUUCAGCCUGUAAGCUGCUCUCUGAUGCUAACUGGAGACAGACGAGAUCAAAACUGGACAUCUGCAGUCGCUCUAACCCAACAUGCUGCUGAUGAAGUUCUCUGUCGCCCCGGCAGGAAUAAAAGGUGAAGUCUCAGUGCCUCCAGAGCCGGUGCUGCUGUUGACGCCUGCAGUCGUGGCUCUGCUAAAGACCACGUUAUGAAGACUGGGCUUUACGAGCGCCCACCUCUUCCUCUGGGCGGCCGGCCUUUGCAUCAUUUACAUAACCCUGCCCCUUACCCUUUGUUUUCUCCGUGUCUCCGGCUUGUUUUCUGCGCUGUCGUCACCCCGGCCUGCAGCGAGGCCGAAGCCGGCCGGCCGGCGAGCCUCUAAUGCUUCCUGACAGCAGACCGGCUCUGCUUGUGUAACGUACUGUAAGGAGGCCGGAGACACCGCGCUAAAAAUAGGAGCUGUGAAUAAUACGGCAAAGUCUUCAGGAUGUUUGGACACGCUUCUUCAGAGGGACAGAACCAGAAGCAGAACCCUCUCAGCAGCUCUGGGGUCAUGUUCUCCAGAGGAUCACUGAUCUUUUCUCGGAGCAGGUUCAUGUCUGGCAGGUUCUCCUGAACCAGAACACGAUGCCAGCUGGAGGUCCAACAUCAGGACCAUCCAUCACUUCAUAGACUCAACACAGGUGUGUUCACCUUCCACAUUCUGGGGAGGAGCAUCACCUGAGGAGACCCUGAGGUUCCCAGCAUGCUCCUUCAGCUGCUGGUGUUUGGACUAACAGCCUCCUCCAUUAGCUUAGUGCUGCUCAGAGGGGAUUUGGGAGGCAGCAUUUUGCUAAGGCGACCCAUCGACAGCCCAUCACGCACAUCAGCAGCAGGAACGUAGAAAUGUGUCAUCUCUAUUUUAAGGCCGCUGCAGACUAAUAUUUAUCCAGAAGCAGCAGAGCAGCGUAAGUGCAGGGCGGGAAAUGGGAGCAGAAAAAGAUGAAAGUCUGUCAGAGCAAACAGCUGAUUAAAGCUCUCACAGAUCUGCUAAAAACUGAGAACAUCCAGCUGCUUCACAGAAGACGUCAUCUCAGCUGCUUCUGGUCAAGGAUGAAGGUUCAGAGGGUUAACCGGAACACUAACCCUGUGAUGGAGGGUUUGGGUCUGUCCAAACACGUAAAACAUCUAAACAGGAAGUAUCCGUCCUCUCAUCACUACUCAUCCUCACCAAAACCCAAAACGAAACUGUUACUUAUUUAAACCGACAAUUCAGAAAAGUUUGUUGCUUUGCUUUUUACCUGGUUUAAAUAAGUAACAGUUUCGUAUAAUAUAUAACGACAAAAUGAACCUAAUACAACCAAAACCCAAACACUAGUAAUCCUACUGACCCUAUGCAGCCGGGUGGUAAUGGGAUUAUUAUUACAGGUGAUGGUGCCUUGUUUUACUCUGGCUGAAAACGGUUUGAUUGGUUGUGAGCGUGUCUGGGUAUUUUUGACCCCGCGGAGCAUCCCCCCAAACAGGUGGCAUCACUGCUCAUCAGACUCCAGGUGGCUUCUUUUCGUCUCUCAGCGAACAGGAGGCAGAGCGGGGAUUCUUCUGGUUUGGCCGAAGCCAGACUCAGCAGCCCAGGCAGGAGGCUUGGAGAACGGGGCUGAGGACCCAUAAGCCCCGCUGUCAGACGGUGAGCGGGAGGACGGAGGACCGACUGUGGGAGCAGUUUGUGAGCAGCUGGAUAGGAGGCUAGCGUGGCUAAUGCUAACCCAGCGGCUAGCGUCCGUCAGACUGGAACGUUUCACCGCACUCAGUGUUUGUGGACCAAACAGCGAUGUUGUCGUUUCGGACUGAACACGGGACUGUGAGCAAACUCAGCCGUGUGGCCGCGCGCGCGUGUAUGCCUGAGUGAGUCAUCACAGAGCAUAAUUGUUAUUAUUAUUGUUAAUAAUAAUAGAGCAUAAUUCUAUUGUAUUGACUUUGUGGGUUUUGAAACGGUGGGAUAACCUGAAAGGGAAAUAUUGCUGUUUAUUGUGUGACAGAGGGAUUUAGUUUAACCUCAGAACUGGUCAUUAGGACCAUCCGGGGUCACCAUCUGAACAGACUAUAACUAGUUUUGGGAAAGUUUACGGCAUUUCAUUUAUGUUUUCUUGACUCAUUGGUUGUGUAUAUAUUUCUGUGUUGUGUUAAAUCCGGCCUCUCUUUAGUUAAUUUGGCCAAAAAGUAAAACCUUCUCUGGGUCUCAUUUUAUUUUGGUAUAUUUUGAUAUCUAUUAUUUAUUUAGUAGUUUCGUUUAGCUUUACAAACCCGAGCACCCACCAAUCUAGGGGUGAUCACCUCAACAGAGAGGAUGCAUACGGGUGCUACACCUACUAACCCUACUAACCCACAUUUACACCUGACCAUGUCUCCUCUGAAUGAUUGAUCACAGACUAACAGGUAAAUCGUCCCGUUAAUGAUGGAUGAGCAACAGUCAACUCUCCGGUUACAACAAAACACCAGAGAGAGAGAGAGAGAGUGUGUGUGUGUGUGUGUGUGUGUGUGUGUGUGUGUGUGUGUGUGUGUGUGUGUGUGUGUGUGUGUGUGUGUGUGUGUGUGUGUGUGUGUGUGUGGCCUGCAAGAACACAAUGCAAAGACACAAAACAACAGAGAAUCACAGAUCUGAGUUAUCAAUGAAGUUGAUCAGUUCUGAUUGGUCGUUCUGUGUAACUGAAGGUUGACUGGAUGUUUUUAACAACAUUCACCAAAAAAUCAACCAAAAUCCAGUGAAAUUGACUGGAUUUUGGUUGAUUUUUUGGUGAAAUGAAAUGCAAAACAAUUCUAAGGAAACAUGACAGCAAAAAAAAUCCAUGAGUCCAAGAAAAGAAAAGAAAAAGAGAUGAGCAGAAAACUUCCAACAACGAUAUCCAACUAAAAUAUGCUCAUUAUUCUGAUAAUAUUAAAUAUAUCCAGUAAAAUACACAACUGGUUUUCAGGUUGUUUUUAAAGCCAGAAAAUGAACAAAAAGAGGAAUAAUCAAACAAAAAUGACAAAGAAACUAAUGUAGAACUAAUAUUAUUAAACGUUAUAUAUUCACUCUCAGCCUGGAUUAUAGAUUAUUAUUUAUUAUAUAUAUUCAGUCUAAAACUGGACUUCUGUUCUACAGAAACCUGCCUCUCCAAUCACAGGUGUGUAGUUCAAGGACCGUUGGACAGAUGAAAUGGGUCCAGGUGUUCACGGAGGUCUAGAUGUUCAUAGAGGUCUAGAUGUUCACAGAGGUCUAGGUGUUCACAGAGGUCUAGGUGUUCAUAGAGGUCUAGAUGUUCAUAGAGGUCUAGGUGUUCAUAGAGGUCCAGGUGUUCAUAGAGGUCUAGAUGUUCAUAGAGGUCUCGGUGUUCAUAGAGGUCUAGAUGUUCACAGAGGUCUAGGUGUUCACAGAGGUCUAGGUGUUCACAGAGGUCUAGGUGUUCAUAGAGGUCUAGGUGUUCAUAGAGGUCCAGGUGUUCAUAGAGGUCUAGGUGUUCAUAGAGGUCUAGGUGUUCAUAGAGGUCUAGGUGUUCAUAGAGGUCUAGGUGUUCAUAGAGGUCUAGGUGUUCAUAGAGGUCUAGGUGUUCAUAGAGGUCCAGGUGUUCAUAGAGGUCCAGGUGUUCAUAGAGGUCCAGGUGUUCAUAGAGGUCCAGGUGUUCAUAGAGGUCUAGGUGUUCAUAGAGGUCCAGGUGUUCAUAGAGGUCUAGGUGUUCAUAGAGGUCCAGGUGUUCACAGAGGUCUAGAUGUUCAUAGAGGUCUAGGUGUUCACAGAGGUCUAGGUGUUCACAGAGGUCUAGGUGUUCAUAGAGGUCUAGGUGUUCAUAGAUGUCUAGGUGUUCAUAGAGGUCCAGGUGUUCAUAGAGGUCUAGGUGUUCAUAGAGGUCUAGGUGUUCAUAGAGGUCUAGGUGUUCAUAGAGGUCUAGGUGUUCAUAGAGGUCCAGGUGUUCACAGAGGUCUAGGUGUUCAUAGAGGUCUAGGUGUUCAUAGAGGUCCAGGUGUUCAUAGAGGUCUAGGUGUUCAUAGAGGUCCAGGUGUUCAUAGAGGUCUAGGUGUUCAUAGAGGUCUAGGUGUUCAUAGAGGUCUAGGUGUUCAU